rnacentral:rRNA from 1 species
UACGAAGGGUGCAAACGUUGCUCGGAAUUAUUGGGCGUAAAGCGCACGUAGGCGGCUUAGCAAGUCGGAAGUGAAAUCCCACGGCUCAACCAUGGAAGUGCUUUCGAAACUGCUGAGCUUGAGUACUUAAGAGGAUCGCGGAAUUCCCGGUGUAGAGGUGAAAUUCGUAGAUAUCGGGAGGAACACCAGUGGCGAAGGCGGCUUCCUGGACACCAACUGACGCUGAGACGCGAAAGCGUGGGGAGCAAACAGGG